CUGCAUGGAGCCGGCCUUGAAAUACCACCCUUUAAUGUUUGAUGUUCUAACGUGGACCCGUGAUCCGGGUUGCGGACAGUGUCUGGUGGGUAGUUUGACUGGGGCGGUCUCCUCCUAAAGAGUAACGGAGGAGCACGAAGGUUGGCUAAUCCUGGUCGGACAUCAGGAGGUUAGUGCAAUGGCAUAAGCCAGCUUGACUGCGAGCGUGACGGCGCGAGCAGGUGCGAAAGCAGGUCAUAGUGAUCCGGUGGUUCUGAAUGGAAGGGCCAUCGCUCAACGGAUAAAAGGUACUCCGGGGAUAACAGGCUGAUACCGCCCAAGAGUUCAUAUCGACGGCGGUGUUUGGCACCUCGAUGUCGGCUCAUCACAUCCUGGGGCUGAAGUAGGUCCCAAGGGUAUGGCUGUUCGCCAUUUAAAGUGGUACGCGAGCUGGGUUUAGAACGUCGUGAGACAGUUCGGUCCCUAUCUGCCGUGGGCGCUGGAGAACUGAGGGGGGCUGCUCCUAGUACGAGAGGACCGGAGUGGACGCAUCACUGGUGUUCGGGUUGUCAUGCCAAUGGCACUGCCCGGUAGCUAAAUGCGGAAGAGAUAAGUGCUGAAAGCAUCUAAGCACGAAACUUGCCCCGAGAUGAGUUCUCCCUGACCCUUUAAGGGUCCUGAAGGAACGUUGAAGACGACGACGUUGAUAGGCCGGGUGUGUAAGCGCAGCGAUGCGUUGAGCUAACCGGUACUAAUGAACCGUGAGG
rnacentral:rRNA from 1 species